rnacentral:rRNA from 1 species
ACGAAGCAAUUUCUCACGAUCCCUUCGGGGUGACGAGUUAUUGACUGAGUGGCGGACGGGUGAGUAACGCGUGGGUGACCUACCUUGUACAGGGGGACAACAGUUGGAAACGACUGCUAAUACCGCAUAAGCGCACAGCAUCGCAUGAUGCAGUGUGAAAAGUUUUUUCGGUACAAGAUGGACCCGCGUCUGAUUAGCUAGUUGGUGAGGUAACGGCCCACCAAGGCGACGAUCAGUAGCCGACCUGAGAGGGUGACCGGCCACAUUGGGACUGAGACACGGCCCAAACUCCUACGGGAGGCAGCAGUGGGGAAUAUUGCACAAUGGGCGCAAGCCUGAUGCAGCGACGCCGCGUGAGCGAAGAAGUAUUUCGGUAUGUAAAGCUCUAUCAGCAGGGAAGAUAAUGACGGUACCUGACUGAGAAGCACCGGCUAAAUACGUGCCAGCAGCCGCGGUAAUACGUAUGGUGCAAGCGUUAUCCGGAUUUACUGGGUGUAAAGGGAGCGUAGGCGGUUUUACAAGUCUGAUGUGAAAGCCCGGGGCUCAACUCCGGUAUUGCAUUGGAAACUGUAGAACUAGAGUGUCGGAGGGGUAAGUGGAAUUCCUAGUGUAGCGGUGAAAUGCGUAGAUAUUAGGAGGAACACCAGUGGCGAAGGCGGCUUACUGGACGAUUACUGACGCUGAGGCUCGAAAGCGUGGGGAGCAAACAGGAUUAGAUACCCUGGUAGUCC